rnacentral:rRNA from 1 species
AUUGAACGCUGGCGGCAGGCCUAACACAUGCAAGUCGAACGGCAGCACAGAAGAGCUUGCUCUUUGGGUGGCGAGUGGCGGACGGGUGAGUAAUGUCUGGGAAACUGCCCGAUGGAGGGGGAUAACUACUGGAAACGGUAGCUAAUACCGCAUAACGUCGCAAGACCAAAGUGGGGGACCUUCGGGCCUCACACCAUCGGAUGUGCCCAGAUGGGAUUAGCUAGUAGGUGGGGUAAUGGCUCACCUAGGCGACGAUCCCUAGCUGGUCUGCGAGGAUGACCAGCCACACUGUAACUGAGACACGGUACAGACUCCUACGGGAGGCAGCAGUGGGGAAUAUUGCACAAUGGGCGCAAGCCUGAUGCAGCCAUGCCGCGUGUAUGAAGAAGGCCUUCGGGUUGUAAGGUACUUUCAGCGGGGAGGAAGGCGGUGAGGUUAAUAACCUUGCCGAUUGACGUUACCCGCAGAAGAAGCACCGGCUAACUCCGUGCCAGCAGCCGCAGUAA